AGUGAACGCUGGCGGUAGGCCUAACACAUGCAAGUCGAACGGCAGCACAGUAAGAGCUUGCUCUUACGGGUGGCGAGUGGCGGACGGGUGAGGAAUACAUCGGAAUCUACUUUUUCGUGGGGGAUAACGUAGGGAAACUUACGCUAAUAUCGCAUACGACCUACGGGUGAAAGCAGGGGAUCUUCGGAACUUGCGCGAUUGAAUGGGCCGAUGUCGGAUUAGCUAGUUGGCGGGGUAAAGGCCCACCAAGGCGACGAUCCGUAGCUGGUCUGAGAGGAUGAUCAGCCACACUGGAACUGAGACACGGUCCAGACUCCUACGGGAGGCAGCAGUGGGGAAUAUUGGACAAUGGGCGCAGGCCUGAUCCAGCCAUACCGCGUGGGUGAAGAAGGCCUUCGGGUUGUAAAGCCCUUUUGUUGGGAAAGAAAAGCAGCAGGUUAAUACCCCGCUGUUCUGACGGUACCCAAAGAAUAAGCACCGGCUAACUUCGUG
rnacentral:rRNA from 1 species